AGAGUUUGAUCAUGGCUCAGAUUGAACGCUGGCGGUAGGCUUAACACAUGCAAGUCUUGCGAGAAAGUAUCUUCGGAUAUGAGUAGAGCGGCGGGACGGGUGAGUAACUCUUAGGAAUCUACCUACUUGAAGGGGAUAGCCCGAGGAAACUCGGAUUAAUACCGUUAACCUCCUUAGGGAGAAAGAGGGCCUCUCUUGAUGCUCUCGCUAUUAGAUGAGCCUGCGUAAGAUGAGCUUGUUGGUGAGGUAAUGGCUCUCCAAGGCUACGAUCUUUAUCUGGUCUGAGAGGACUAUCGGCCACAUUGGGACUGAGACACGGCCCAGACUCCU
rnacentral:rRNA from 1 species